UACGGGAGGCAGCAGUGGGGAAUAUUGCACAAUGGGCGCAAGCCUGAUGCAGCCAUGCCGCGUGUAUGAAGAAGGCCUUCGGGUUGUAAAGUACUUUCAGUCGUGAGGAAGGUGUUAAGGUUAAUAACCUUAGCAAUUGACGUUAGCGACAGAAGAAGCACCGGCUAACUCCGUGCCAGCAGCCGCGGUAAUACGGAGGGUGCGAGCGUUAAUCGGAAUUACUGGGCGUAAAGGGCACGCAGGCGGUUAAUUAAGUUGGAUGUGAAAUCCCCGGGCUUAACCUGGGAAUGGCAUUCAAGACUGGUUAGCUAGAGUCUUGUAGAGGGGGUAGAAUUCCAUGUGUAGCGGUGAAAUGCGUAGAGAUGUGGAGGAAUACCGGUGGCGAAGGCGGCCCCUGGCAAAGGACUGACGCUCAUGUGCGAAAGCGUGGGGAGCAAACG
rnacentral:rRNA from 1 species